rnacentral:rRNA from 1 species
UGUGUGUGUUAGUGGAAGCGUCUGGAAAGGCGUGCGAUACAGGGUGACAGCCCCGUACACAAAAAUGCACAUAUUGUGAGCUCGAUGAGUAGGGCGGGACACGUGGUAUCCUGUCUGAAUAUGGGGGGACCAUCCUCCAAGGCUAAAUACUCCUGACUGACCGAUAGUGAACCAGUACCGUGAGGGAAAGGCGAAAAGAACCCCGGCGAGGGGAGUGAAAAAGAACCUGAAACCGUGUACGUACAAGCAGUGGGAGCCUCUUAAUGGGGUGACUGCGUACCUUUUGUAUAAUGGGUCAGCGACUUAUAUUCUGUAGCAAGGUUAACCGAAUAGGGGAGCCGAAGGGAAACCGAGUCUUAACUGGGCGUUAAGUUGCAGGGUAUAGACCCGAAACCCGGUGAUCUAGCCAUGGGCAGGUUGAAGGUUGGGUAACACUAACUGGAGGACCGAACCGACUAAUGUUGAAAAAUUAGCGGAUGACUUGUGGCUGGGGGUGAAAGGCCAAUCAAACCGGGAGAUAGCUGGUUCUCCCCGAAAGCUAUUUAGGUAGCGCCUCGUGAAUUCAUCUCCGGGGGUAGAGCACUGUUUCGGCAAGGGGGUCAUCCCGACUUACCAACCCGAUGCAAACUGCGAAUACCGGAGAAUGUUAUCACGGGAGACACACGGCGGGUGCUAACGUCCGUCGUGAAGAGGGAAACAACCCAGACCGCCAGCUAAGGUCCCAAAGUCAUGGUUAAGUGGGAAACGAUGUGGGAAGGCCCAGACAGCCAGGAUGUUGGCUUAGAAGCAGCCAUCAUUUAAAGAAAGCGUAAUAGCUCACUGGUCGAGUCGGCCUGCGCGGAAGAUGUAACGGGGCUAAACCAUGCACCGAAGCUGCGGCAGCGACGCUUAUGCGUUGUUGGGUAGGGGAGCGUUCUGUAAGCCUGUGAAGGUGGCCUGUGAGGGUUGCUGGAGGUAUCAGAAGUGCGAAUGCUGACAUAAGUAACGAUAAAGCGGGUGAAAAGCCCGCUCGCCGGAAGACCAAGGGUUCCUGUCCAACGUUAAUCGGGGCAGGGUGAGUCGACCCCUAAGGCGAGGCCGAAAGGCGUAGUCGAUGGGAAACAGGUUAAUAUUCCUGUACUUGGUGUUACUGCGAAGGGGGGACGGAGAAGGCUAUGUUGGCCGGGCGACGGUUGUCCCGGUUUAAGCGUGUAGGCUGGUUUUCCAGGCAAAUCCGGAAAACCAAGGCUGAGGCGUGAUGACGAGGCACUACGGUGCUGAAGCGACAAAUGCCCUGCUUCCAGGAAAAGCCUCUAAGCAUCAGGUAACAUCAAAUCGUACCCCAAACCGACACAGGUGGUCAGGUAGAGAAUACCAAGGCGCUUGAGAGAACUCGGGUGAAGGAACUAGGCAAAAUGGUGCCGUAACUUCGGGAGAAGGCACGCUGAUAUGUAGGUGAAGCGACUUGCUCGUGGAGCUGAAAUCAGUCGAAGAUACCAGCUGGCUGCAACUGUUUAUUAAAAACACAGCACUGUGCAAACACGAAAGUGGACGUAUACGGUGUGACGCCUGCCCGGUGCCGGAAGGUUAAUUGAUGGGGUUAGCGGUAACGCGAAGCUCUUGAUCGAAGCCCCGGUAAACGGCGGCCGUAACUAUAACGGUCCUAAGGUAGCGAAAUUCCUUGUCGGGUAAGUUCCGACCUGCACGAAUGGCGUAAUGAUGGCCAGGCUGUCUCCACCCGAGACUCAGUGAAAUUGAACUCGCUGUGAAGAUGCAGUGUACCCGCGGCAAGACGGAAAGACCCCGUGAACCUUUACUAUAGCUUGACACUGAACAUUGAGCCUUGAUGUGUAGGAUAGGUGGGAGGCUUUGAAGUGUGGACGCCAGUCUGCAUGGAGCCGACCUUGAAAUACCACCCUUUAAUGUUUGAUGUUCUAACGUUGGCCCGUAAUCCGGGUUGCGGACAGUGUCUGGUGGGUAGUUUGACUGGGGCGGUCUCCUCCUAAAGAGUAACGGAGGAGCACGAAGGUUGGCUAAUCCUGGUCGGACAUCAGGAGGUUAGUGCAAUGGCAUAAGCCAGCUUGACUGCGAGCGUGACGGCGCGAGCAGGUGCGAAAGCAGGUCAUAGUGAUCCGGUGGUUCUGAAUGGAAGGGCCAUCGCUCAACGGAUAAAAGGUACUCCGGGGAUAACAGGCUGAUACCGCCCAAGAGUUCAUAUCGACGGCGGUGUUUGGCACCUCGAUGUCGGCUCAUCACAUCCUGGGGCUGAAGUAGGUCCCAAGGGUAUGGCUGUUCGCCAUUUAAAGUGGUACGCGAGCUGGGUUUAGAACGUCGUGAGACAGUUCGGUCCCUAUCUGCCGUGGGCGCUGGAGAACUGAGGGGGGCUGCUCCUAGUACGAGAGGACCGGAGUGGACGCAUCACUGGUGUUCGGGUUGUCAUGCCAAUGGCACUGCCCGGUAGCUAAAUGCGGAAGAGAUAAGUGCUGAAAGCAUCUAAGCACGAAACUUGCCCCGAGAUGAGUUCUCCCUGAGACUUAGAGUCUCCUGAAGGAACGUUGAAGACGACGACGUUGAUAGGCCGGGUGUGUAAGCGCAGCGAUGCGUUGAGCUAACCGGUACUAAUGAACCGUGAGGCUUAACCUU